UACGGAGGGUGCAAGCGUUGUCCGGAAUCACUGGGCGUAAAGGGCGCGUAGGCGGCUUUAUAAGUCGGGGGUGAAAGCCUGUGGCUCAACCACAGAAUUGCCUUCGAUACUGUAGAGCUUGAGACCGGAAGAGGUAAGUGGAACUGCGAGUGUAGAGGUGAAAUUCGUAGAUAUUCGCAAGAACACCAGUGGCGAAGGCGGCUUACUGGUCCGGUUCUGACGCUGAGGCGCGAAAGCGUGGGGAGCAAACAGG
rnacentral:rRNA from 1 species